AAGUCGUAACAAGGUUUCCGUAGGUGAACCUGCGGAAGGAUCAUUAACAUUUGUAUUUGAUGUGGUGGUGUUUGUUGCUCUAUUUCUGAGUAACGCAUCAUCAUCUCAACCCCAUUGUGUGCAUGUUUUGUGUGUGUGCGUAGUAAGGGGAGGUUUUUACCCCUCCUUCUCUCACCCCACUUCUUUCACUUUCACACCCAAACCCCUUCUUCUCAUCACACUAGACUGACUUUACACCUCGUUUUACUCAGGCUCAACUGAGCAAAACAUCAAUCAGCAUACAACUCUUAGCAACGGAUAUCUAGGCUCUC
rnacentral:misc_RNA from 1 species